AUUGAACGCUGGCGACAGGCCUAACACAUGCAAGUCGAGCGGAUGAAGGGAGCUUGCUCCUGGAUUCAGCGGCGGACGGGUGAGUAAUGCCUAGGAAUCUGCCUGGUAGUGGGGGAUAACGUCCGGAAACGGGCGCUAAUACCGCAUACGUCCUGAGGGAGAAAGUGGGGGAUCUUCGGACCUCACGCUAUCAGAUGAGCCUAGGUCGGAUUAGCUAGUUGGUGGGGUAAAGGCCUACCAAGGCGACGAUCCGUAACUGGUCUGAGAGGAUGAUCAGUCACACUGGAACUGAGACACGGUCCAGACUCCUACGGGAGGCAGCAGUGGGGAAUAUUGGACAAUGGGCGAAAGCCUGAUCCAGCCAUGCCGCGUGUGUGAAGAAGGUCUUCGGAUUGUAAAGCACUUUAAGUUGGGAGGAAGGGCAGUAAGUUAAUACCUUGCUGUUUUGACGUUACCAACAGAAUAAGCACCGGCUAACUUCGU
rnacentral:rRNA from 1 species